rnacentral:rRNA from 1 species
CCUACGGGUGGCUGCAGUGAGGAAUAUUGGUCAAUGGGCGUAAGUCUGAACCAGCCAAGUAGCGUGAGGGAUGACUGCCCUAUGGGUUGUAAACUUCUUUUAUCUGGGAAUAAAACAGGCUAUGUGUACCCUCUUUUAUGUUCCCUAUUAAUAAGGAUCCGCUAACUACGUUCCAGCCACCGCGGUAAUACGGAGGGUCCGAGCGGUAUCCGGAUUUAUUUGGGUUAAAGGGGGCGUAGGUGGAUUGUUAAGUCAGUUGUUAAAGUGUGCGGCUCAACCCUAACAUUGCAGUUGAAACUGGCAGUCUUGAGUACAGUAGAGGUGGGCGGAAUGCGUGGUGUAGCGGGGAAAUGCUUAGAUAUCACGAAGAACUCCGAUUGCGAAGGCAGCAUACUGGACCGCAACUGACACUGAUGCUCGAAAGUGUGGGUAUCAAACAGGAUUAGAUACCCGAGUAGUC